GGAGAGAGGGACACAGGGAGCAGGGAAAGGACACAGGGAGCAAGGGAAGGGACACAAGGAGUGAGAAGGACAUGGGGAACAGGGAAGGGACAUGAGGAGCAUGGAGAGAGACAGAAGGGGCAGGAAGGGACACGAGGAACAGGGAAGGGACACGAGGGAGGAGCAGGGAGCACACGAGGAGCAGGCGAUGCUCUCAGGGGAUGCUCUCAGGUGGUUCUCAGGGGAUGCUCUCAGGUGAUGCUCUCAGGGGAUGCUCUCAGGUGUUUCUCAGGUGAUGCUCAGGUGAUGCUCUCAGGUGGUUCUCAGGUGAUGCUCUCAGGUGAUGCUCUCAGGUGAUGCUCCAAUGAUGCUCUCAGGUGAUGCUCUCAGCUGAUGCUCUCAGCUGAUGCUCUCAGCUGAUGCUCUCAGGUGUUUCUCAGGUGAUGCUCUCAGGUGAUGCUCACGUGAUGCUCUCAGGUGUUUCUCAGGUGAUGCUCUCAGGUGAUGCUCUCAGGUGAUGCUCCAAUGAUGCUCUCAGGUGAUGCUCUCAGCUGAUGCUCUCAGCUGAUGCUCUCAGGUGUUUCUCAGGUGAUGCUCUCAGGUGAUGCUCACGUGAUGCUCUCAGGUGUUUCUCAGGUGAUGCUCACGUGAUGCUCUCAGGUGUUUCUCAGGUGGUUCUCAGCUGACGCUCUCAGCUGAUGCUCUCAGGUGUUUCUCAGGUGAUGCUCUCAGGUGAUGCUCUCAGGUGGUUCUCAGGUGGUUCUCAGGUGGUUCUCAGCUGAUGCUCUCAGCUGAUGCUCUCAGGUGUUUCUCAGGUGAUGCUCUCAGGUGAUGCUCUCAGGUGGUUCUCAGGUGGUUCUCAGCUGACGCUCUCAGCUGAUGCUCUCAGCUGUUUCUCAGGUGAUGCUCUCAGGUGAUGCUCUCCAGUGAUGCUCUCUCUCAGGUGAUGUUUUCUGGUGGUGGUCUCAGGGAAUGCUCUCAGGUGAUGCUCAGGUGAUGCUCAGGUGAUGAUUUUAGGUGCUGCUCUUCAGGGAUGUCCGGAUGACGCUCUCAGGUGAUGCUCAGGUGAUGCUCUCCACUGAUGUUCUUGGUGAUGCUCUCAGGUGAUGUCCCAGGUGAUGUUUUUUGGUGAUGCUCAGGUGUUGCUCUCCAGAGAUGUUCUCAGGUGCCUCUCUCAGGUGCUGCUCUCUCUCCAUCGAUUCCCUCCCAUCAAUCCCCUCCCAUCAUUUCCUUCCCAUCGAUUCCCUCCCACUGAUUCCCUCUCCAUCAAUUCCCUCCCUGUUGUUUCCCUCUCCAUGGAUUCCCUCUCCAUGGAUUCCUUCCCACUGAUUCCCUCUCCAUUGAUUCUCUCCCCAUUUGAUUCCCUCUCCAUGGAUUCCCUCGCCAUCGAUUCCCUCUCCGUUGAUUCCCCCUCUGCCGAUUCCAUCCCUCCCUGUCUCCCACAGAGACGAUCCCAUGGCAGCCCCUCCCUGGAGGAGAUCUCGCGAUCCCGGUUUUCCCCUCGCUCCAGCUCAAUCCUUGUCCCCCCCAGGGUGGCAGCGAGGGGGACACAGGGUCGGGAUUAGGGACAGGGGCCGGAUGAGCUGCUCUCGGCAUUCCCAAGGGUUUGGGGGACUGGUCUGGGAUAGGCCUUGGAAAAGGGGCCCAGGGCAUGUCCCAGGAAUGCUCCGAGUCCCAGGGAAGGGUUUGGAGUCUCCCGGGCAGCCUCUGCUCCUGUCUGCUCCCAGGUUUCCUGGGAAAGGGAAAGGAAAAGGGAGAGGGAAAAGAGGGAAGUGGAAAGGAAA